rnacentral:rRNA from 1 species
UAACGCGUGAGGAACCUGCCUUCCAGAGGGGGACAACAGUUGGAAACGACUGCUAAUACCGCAUGAUGCGUUGGAGCCGCAUGACUCCGACGUCAAAGAUUUAUCGCUGGAAGAUGGCCUCGCGUCUGAUUAGCUAGUUGGUGAGGUAACGGCCCACCAAGGCGACGAUCAGUAGCUGGACUGAGAGGUUGGCCGGCCACAUUGGGACUGAGAUACGGCCCAGACUCCUACGGAAGGCAGCAG